GUGCGAGACCGAUAGCGAACAAGUACCGUGAGGGAAAGAUGAAAAGAACUUUGAAAAGAGAGUUAAAGAGUACCUGAAACUGCUGAAAGGGAAGCGAAUCGUAUCCAGUGUCUAUAAUCUGCGGCAUAUUUCAUUGGCGGCAGUGUGCGUGCUUUUGCGUCGGAAGCGGCUUUUGUUGCUCUGUGCUUUUGCUGUGCGUGCUGUUGCUGGUGCCCUGUGUUGCGGUGGGACGUCAGAGUCAGUUCGUAUGCUGCGGGAAAUGGCCGCCGAGGAGGUAGGUCAGGACUUCGGUCUUGGCUGUUAUAUCUUGGUGGUUUGUUGUCGUGGUUGGGACUGAGGUGCCUACAAUGUGCUUUUGAGUGUGCCGGGUUCUCAUUUGGUGGACGGUUUGGAUAGCUUGCUAUGCUUGUGGUUUUUUCAUCGAGUGAUUGAGUCUGGUGAUAACUUGUUGCUGUUCGGGACUUUGAA
rnacentral:rRNA from 2 species